rnacentral:rRNA from 1 species
UACGUAGGGGGCAAGCGUUGUCCGGAAUCAUUGGGCGUAAAGAGCGUGUAGGCGGCUCGGUAAGUCCGCUGUGAAAGUCCAGGGCUCAACCCUGGAAUGCCGGUGGAAACUGUCGAGCUAGAGUCCGGAAGAGGAGAGCGGAAUUCCUGGUGUAGCGGUGGAAUGCGCAGAUAUCAGGAAGAACACCCGUGGCGAAGGCGGCUCUCUGGGACGGUACUGACGCUGAGACGCGAAAGCGUGGGGAGCGAACAGG